rnacentral:snRNA from 1 species
GCGUGCCUCGGCAUCAGCGUGCUCCGGG